rnacentral:rRNA from 1 species
UACAUGGGGUGCAAACGUUGCUCGGAAUUAUUGGGCGUAAAGCGCACGUAGGCGGUUCGUUAAGUCGGAUGUGAAAGCCCUCGGCUCAACUGAGGAAGUGCACCCGAAACUGGCGAGCUUGAGUACGAAAGAGGAUCGCGGAAUUCCCGGUGUAGAGGUGAAAUUCGUAGAUAUCGGGAGGAACACCGGCGGCGAAGGCGGCGAUCUGGGUCGAUACUGACGCUCAGGCACGAAAGCGUGGGGAGCAAACAGG